UACGGGGGGAGCAAGCGUUGUUCGGAUUUACUGGGCGUAAAGGGCGCGUAGGCGGCGCAACAAGUCACUUGUGAAAUCUCCGGGCUUAACCCGGAGCGGUCAAGUGAUACUGUCGUGCUAGAGUGCGGAAGGGGCUACUGGAAUUCUCGGUGUAGCGGUGAAAUGCGUAGAUAUCGAGAGGGAACACCUGCGGCGAAGGCGGGUUGCUGGGGCUGAUACUGACGCUGGACAGCGCGAAAAGCUAGGGGGAGCGAAACGGGG
rnacentral:rRNA from 1 species